rnacentral:rRNA from 1 species
GAUGAACGCUAGCGGCAGGCUUAAUACAUGCAAGUCGAGGGGCAGCGGGGGUAGCAAUACCUGCCGGCGACCGGCAAACGGGUGCGGAACACGUACACAACUUUCCUUUAAGUGGGGGAUAGCCCAGAGAAUUUGGAUUAAUACCCCGUAAUAUUAUGAAGUGGCAUCAUUUUUAUAAUUAUAGCUCCGGCGCUUGAAGAUGGGUGUGCGGCUGAUUAGGUAGUUGGCGGGGUAACGGCCCA